rnacentral:rRNA from 1 species
GACGAACGCUGGCGGCGUGCUUAACACAUGCAAGUCGAGCGGUAAGGCCCCUUCGGGGGUUCACGAGCGGCGAACGGGUGAGUAAAACGUGAGCAAUCUGCCCAUCACAUCGGGAUAACUCCGGGAAACCGAAGCUAAUACCGAAUACGACCACCUCCGGCAUCGGAUGGUGGUGGAAAGUUCCGGCGGUGAUGGAUGAGCUAGCGGCCUAUCAGCUUGUUGGGGGGGUAACGGCCCACCAAGGCUUCGACGGGUAGCCGGCCUGAGAGGGUGACCGGCGACACUGGGACUGAGACACGGCGCAGACUCCUACGGGAGGCAGCAGUGGGGAAUAUUGUCCAAUGGGCGAAAGCCUGAGCCAGCAACGCCGCGUGAGGGAUGACGGCCAUCGGGUUGUAAACCUCUUUCAGCAGGGACGAAGCGCAAGUGACGGUACCUGCAGAAGAAGCACCGGCCAACUACGUG